rnacentral:rRNA from 1 species
AUUGAACGCUGGCGGAAUGCUUUACACAUGCAAGUCGAGCGGCAGCGCGGGGCAACCUGGCGGCGAGCGGCGAACGGGUGAGUAAUACAUCGGAACGUGCCCAGACGUGGGGGAUAACUACUCGAAAGAGUAGCUAAUACCGCAUACGAUCUACGGAUGAAAGCGGGGGAUCGCAAGACCUCGCGCGUUUGGAGCGGCCGAUGGCAGAUUAGGUAGUUGGUGGGGUAAAGGCUUACCAAGCCUGCGAUCUGUAGCUGGUCUGAGAGGACGACCAGCCACACUGGGACUGAGACACGGCCCAGACUCCUACGGGAGGCAGCAGUGGGGAAUUUUGGACAAUGGGCGAAAGCCUGAUCCAGCCAUUCCGCGUGCAGGAUGAAGGCCCUCGGGUUGUAAACUGCUUUUGUACAGAACGAAAAGCUCUGGUUAAUACCUGGAGUCCAUGACGGUACUGUAAGAAUAAGCACCGGCUAACUACGUGCCAGCAGCCGAC